rnacentral:rRNA from 1 species
UACGAAGGGGGCUAGCGUUGCUCGGAAUCACUGGGCGUAAAGCGCACGUAGGCGGAUUGCUAAGUCAGGGGUGAAAUCCUGGAGCUCAACUCCAGAACUGCCUUUGAUACUGGCGAUCUUGAGUCCGGGAGAGGUGAGUGGAACUGCGAGUGUAGAGGUGAAAUUCGUAGAUAUUCGCAAGAACACCAGUGGCGAAGGCGGCUCACUGGCCCGGUACUGACGCUGAGGUGACGAAGCGGUGGGGAGCAAACAGG